AUUAGGUUGCUCAACAUAACGGUGGUUACGAGUUUUGAAAGAAAAUAUUGAAGACUUUAAAACUAUGAGAAGAAAGAAAAAAGUAAUAAAAAAAGUAAUCUUCUAUCUUCGUGAUUAUAUGUUUUUGGAAGGAAAGUAUAAGGAAAAUAGAGUAUUGCUUUUUACCUUGAGAGAAUAAAAUUUAAAAUUUAUUUUCAGUUUUAAGACGUCUAU
rnacentral:lncRNA from 1 species